rnacentral:rRNA from 1 species
UACGUAGGGGGCAAGCGUUGUCCGGAUUUAUUGGGCGUAAAGAGCGUGUAGGCGGCCAUGCAGGUCCGUUGUGAAAACUCGAGGCUCAACCUCGAGACGCCGAUGGAAACCGCAUGGCUAGAGUCCGGAAGAGGAGAGUGGAAUUCCUGGUGUAGCGGUGAAAUGCUCAGAUAUCAGGAAGAACACCCGUGGCUAAGGCGGCUCUCUAGUACGGUACUGACGCUGAGACGCGAAAGCGUGGGGAGCGAACAGG